rnacentral:rRNA from 1 species
AUGAACGUUGGCGGCGUGGGAUUAGGCAUGCAAGUCGUACGCUUUAUGUAGCAAUACAUGAAGAGUGGCGUAAGGGAGAGUAAUGCAUGGUUAGCUACCCUGGGGACUGGGAUAUAGCGGCGGGAAAACUGCCGGUAAUACCAGAUGAUAUCUUCGGAUCAAACGUGUAAAUCGGCCCCUAGGAGGUGACCAUGUCCUAUCAGCUAGUUUGGCGGUUGUAACGGACCACCAAGGCUAAGACGGGUAUGGGGGCGUGAGAGCGUGCCCCCACUCACUGGGACUGAGACACUGCCCAGACACCUACGGGUGGCUGCAGUCGAGAAUCUUCGGCAAUGGGCGCAAGCCCUGACCGAGCGACGCCGCGUGCGGGAUGAAGGCCUUCGGGUUGUAAAACCGCUGUCGUAGGGGAGGAAGGUCUGGUUGUAUAGCCAGGCUUGACCGAUCCUAGGAGGAAGGGCCGGGCUAAUCUCGUGCCAGCCAGCCGCGGUAAUACGAGAGGCCCAAACGUUAUUCGGAAUUACUGGGCUUAUAAAGAGUUCGUAGGCGGCAUGAAAAGUAGGGUGUGAAAGCCCUCGGCUUAACCGAGGAAUUGCGCUCUAAACUGUCGUGCUCGAGGAACCUAGAGGUGAGCAGAACAGAUGGUGGAGCGGUGAAAUGCGUUGAUAUCAUCUGGAAUACCGGAGGCGAAGGCGGCUCACUGGGGGUUUUCUGACGCUGAGGAACGAAAAGCCAGGGUAGCGAACGGGAAUUAGAUACCCCCGGCAGUCCUGGCCGUAAACGAUGAGCACUAGGCCGGAGCCCUGCACAGGGUUUUCGGGCCGUAGCUAAAGUGUUAAGUGCUCCGCCUGGGGAGUAUGGUCGCAAGGCUGAAAACUCAAAGGAAUUGACGGGGGGCUCACACAAAGGCGGUGGAGGAUGUGGCUCAAUUCGAGGCUACGCGAAGAAACCUUAUCCUAGUCUUGACAUGGUUUAAGAAUCCUCUUGAAAGAGAGGAGUGCCCGCAAGGGAGCUUUUUUCACAGGUGCUGCAUGGCUGUCGUCAGCCUCGUGUCGUGAGAUGUCGGGUUAAGUCCCUUAACGAGCGAAACCCUUGUCCUUAGUUACCAGCGGGUCAUGCCGGGGACUCUAAGGAGACUGCCGGUUGUUAAACCGGAGGAAGGUGGGGAUGACGUCAAGUCCUCAUGGGCCUUUAUGACUAGGGCUGCACCACGUCCUACAAUGGCGCACACAAAGCGACGCAAACUCGCAAGAGCCAGCAAAAUCGCAAAAAUUGCGCCCCAGUUCGGAUUGCAGGCUGCAACCCGCCUGCAUGAAGCCGGAAUCGCUAGUAAUCGCGGGUCAGCAUACCGCGGUGAAUGUGUUCCUGAGCCUUGUACACCACCCGCCCGUCAAGCCACGAAAGUGGGGGGGCGCCCAACAGUCCUGUCGUAAACCGCAAGGAACAAGGGACCUAAGGCGAACUUCCGUGAUUGGGACU